rnacentral:lncRNA from 1 species
UAUAUAUAUAUAUAGUGUAGAACUACUAUGCUAUCGAAAAUAUAGAGAAUUUGAUGUUUUCGAAUUUUUGAUCCUUUGAUUAAGAAUUGUAUGGUUGGGAUGAUUGCGGUCCCCCUUAGGACUUAAUAAUACCCUACGAGGUAAUAAUAGUAUUAGUCCAAAGAUAAGAAAUGAUUAAAGGGGUUGAUCUAAGAAUCAAAAAAUCGAAAGCACUAGAUCCUCAAUACUUUUGAUAGUAUAGUAGCUCUACUAUAUAUAUAUAUAUAUAUUCGAGCUUUUCGAGCUUUUCGAGCCUAAUUCGAACGAGCCGAGUAAUACUCAAGCUCGGCUUGAAAUAAAUUUCGAGCCUUU